AUUUAACUGAAUCAGUGUGCAGAAUUCUGAAAACAAAGUGUUUAUUGUUCAAUAUUGGGAGGUUAUACAAUUACAGUUUUGCGAGCAGUUGGUGGAUAAAUGGCCAAAAUCAUGAGAAGAGCUACUCUACUAUUCCUAAUAGUAAUUAUGGCAAUGGCAAUGCAGAGAACGGUAGCUGAUAACAGUACAACCCAAGCUGAAAUGACAACAACCAUAGAACCUGACACAACAACCACAUCUGUUACUACAACAUCCACAACUGCUCCAACAUUAACAACAACUGCAACAACAAACAUGGCAGGUGCCACUACAACCACAGUUGCUCCAACAACAACAGCAGCAACCAUGUCAACCACAGCACUUCCCACAACAACUGUAGCUGCCACAACAAUCACAGAACAUGCCACAUCAACUAUAACUGCACCCACUUCAACCACAGAUACAGCCACAACAACUACAACAACCACACCUGCUCCAACAACAACUACAGCUGUAGCCACUACAGGUACAACAACUACAACAACAGCUCAAACAUCAACCACUACUGAUGUCUCAUCAACUACACCUGCUCCCACAACUGCAACAACAAACAUGGCAGGUGCCACUACAACCACAGUUGCUCCAACAACAACAGCAGCAACCAUGUCAACCACAGCACUUCCCACAACAACUGUAGCUGCCACAACAAUCACAGAACAUGCCACAUCAACUAUAACUGCACCCACUUCAACCACAGAUACAGCCACAACAACUACAUCUGCCAGUACAACAACCACACCUGCUCCAACAACAACUACAGCUGUAGCCAAUACAGGUACAACAACUACAACAACAGCUCAAACAUCAACCACUACUGAUGUCUCAUCAACUACACCUGCUCCCACAACUGCAACAACAAACAUGGCAGGUGCCACAACAACCACAGUUGCUCCAACAUCAACAUCGGCAACCACGUCAAUCACAGCACUUCCCACAACAACUGCAGCUGCCACAACAACCACAGAACAUGCCACAUCAACUACAACUGCACCCACUUCAACCACAGAUACAGCCACAACAACUACAUCUGCCAGUACAACAACCACACCUGCUCCAACAACAACUACAGCUGUCUCAUCAACUACACCUGCUCCAACAACAACUGCAACAACAAACACGGCAGGUGCCACAACAACCACAGUUGCUCCAACAGCAGCAACCACAUCAACCACAGCACUUCCCACAACAACAACUACAACUGCCACAAAAACCACAGAACCUGCCACAUCAACUACAACUGCACCCACGUCAACUACAGAUACAGCCACAACAACUACAUCUGCCACUACAACAACCACAGCUGCAACUACUACAACAACAGCUCAAACAUCAACCACUACAGCUGUCUCAUCAACUACACCUGCUCCAACAUCAACAACAACUGCAACAACAAACACAGCAGGUGCCACAACAACCACAGUUGCUCCAACAACAACCGAAGCCACCACGUCAACCACAGCACUUCCCACAACAACUACAACUGCCACAACAACCAUAGAACAUUCCACGUCAACAACAACUGCACCCACGUCAACCACAGAUACAGCCACAACAACUACAACAACCACACCUGCUCCAACAACAACUACAGCUCUAACCACUACAGCUGCAGCCACUACAACAACAG
ensembl:lncRNA